GAGGAAAUCUGAUGUUGGCAUGGUUCAAUCAAAUCGAAGCACUCAGCUGCCUGCUGAGUUCUUUAAUCUGAUUGAGCCGUGCCAAUAUCGCCAUUCAGUCU
rnacentral:pre_miRNA from 9 species